rnacentral:rRNA from 1 species
GACGAACGCUGGCGGCGUGCUUAACACAUGCAAGUCGAACGGAAAGGCCCUUCUUGCUGGGUACUCGUGUGGCGAACGUGUGUGUUACACGUGGGUGUUCUUCCCUGUACUUCGUGAUUAGCUUGGGAAACUGCUUCUAAUACCGGAUAUGUGCCGUCUUUAGUGUGGUGUUUGGAAAGUUUUUUCGGUGUAGGAGGAGGUCGCGGCCUUUCAGCUUGUUGGUGGGGUAAUGGCCUACCAAGGCGGCGAUGGGUAGCAGGCCUGAGAGGGUGUACGGCCACACAGGGAGCGAGAGACAGGCCAGAGUCCUAAAGGAGGGAGAAGGGGGGAAAAUUGGACAAAGGGAGCAAGCCUGAAGGAGCGAGGCCGCGUGGGGGAUGAAGGCCUUCGGGUGGUAAAAACCGUUCGCGAGGGAGAAAGCGUGGUUGUGACGGUACCGAGAGAAGAAGCACCGGCUAACUACGUG